UAGGGAGGGAGCUAGCGUUAUUCGGAAUUACUGGGCGUAAAGCGCACGUAGGCGGCUUUGUAAGUUAGAGGUGAAAGCCUGGAGCUCAACUCCAGAACUGCCUUUAAGACUGCAUCGCUUGAAUCCAGGAGAGGUGAGUGGAAUUCCGAGUGUAGAGGUGAAAUUCGUAGAUAUUCGGAAGAACACCAGUGGCGAAGGCGGCUCACUGGACUGGUAUUGACGCUGAGGUGCGAAAGCGUGGGGAGCAAACAGG
rnacentral:rRNA from 1 species